rnacentral:SRP_RNA from 1 species
CCGUCGGACCAGCGCGGUGGCGACCCUCGAACCAGGUCAGGUCGGAAGAAGCAGCCUUAAGAGGUGAUCGUCAGGUGCCGUUGGAAACCGGCGGGGC